rnacentral:rRNA from 1 species
GUGAUAAGCUGCGAUAAGCUUCGGUGAGUUGCACGUAAACUUUGAUCCGAAGAUUUCCGAAUGAGGAAACGCACUUAGAGUAAUGUCUAAGUAGCAUUAAGUGAAUACAUAGCUUAAUGAGGGGAACUCAGGGAGCUGAAACAUCUAAGUACCUGAAGGAAGAGAAAGAAAUUCGAUUCCGUAAGUAGCGGCGAGCGAACGCGGAUUAGCCCAAACCAAUAAAGUUUGCUUUAUUGGGGUUGCGGACAUAUCAUAACGAAGAGGUAUCGUAAUUGAAGAUGUUUGGAAAGACCCACCACAGAAGGUAAUAGUCCUGUAUGUUAAACGAGAAGACUUUAGAUAUGAUCCAGAGUACCACGGGACACGUGAAACCCUGUGGGAAGCAGGAGGGACCACCCUCCACGGCUAAAUACUACCUAGUUACCGAUAGCGUAUAGUACCGUGAGGGAAAGGAGAAAAGAACCCCGGGAGGGGAGUGAAAUAGAACCUGAAACCCUGCACUUACAAGCUGUGGAAGCACAUUUCUUUUGUGACCGCGUACUUUUUGUAGAUCGGGCCAACGAGUUACGUU